GGAGAGAUGGCUGAGUGGUCGAAAGCAACGGUUUGCUAAAUCGUCGUACGGGUCACACCGUACCGCGGGUUCGAAUCCCGCUCUCUCCGCCA
rnacentral:tRNA from 1 species